rnacentral:misc_RNA from 1 species
UAUGAAGAACGUAGUGAAAUGCGAUAAGUAAUGUGAAUUGCAGAAUUCAGUGAAUCAUCGAAUCUUUGAACGCACAUUGCGCCCGCCAGUAUUCUGGCGGGCAUGCCUGUUCGAGCGUCAUUACAACCCUCAGGCCCCCGGGCCUGGCGUUGGGGAUCGGCGGAGCCCCCCGUGGGCACACGCCGUCCCCCAAAUGCAGUGGCGGUCCCGCCGCAGCUUCCAUCGCGUAGUAGCUAACACCUCGCGACUGGAGAGCGGCGCGGCCACGCCGUAAAACACCCAACUCUUCUGAAGUUGACCUCGAAUCAGGUAGGAAUACCCGCUGAACUUAAGCAUAUCAAUAAGCGGAGGA